rfam:Oryza glumipatula chromosome 10, whole genome shotgun sequence.
UUUAAGUGCAGUUAUAAAUUUCGGCGUCCAACAUUUGAUCAUCUGUCUUUAAUGUGUAUUUUUUUAGAUUAGUAUUUUUAUUUUUAUUUGAUGAUAAAGCAUAAACAAUACUUUAUGUGUGACUUAUUUUUUAAAAAAAAAUCAUAAAUUUUUCAAAUAAGACAGACGGUCAAACGUUGGACACAUGAACCCACAGCUGUACUUAAA